rnacentral:lncRNA from 1 species
AAUUAGUCAAUUCCAUAGAAAUAUAGAGAAUGCUGUGAACAGUUGUAGCAUGUGGCAAACUUCUAUGAAUCUGAUAUUAUUUGUAAGAUGUGAGACUUCAUUGGUCUGAUGUCAACUUUAAUCUCUCUCCCUUUGAUUCCUUCAAAUGCAAAGACAAUUGUUGUCCAGUUUGUCAAGGAUAUGACAAUUGCGCUUGCCUAAUUGUUCUAGACUCGUUGACCUUUGCCUUCCAAUGCCAUCUGAGAAUUUUUCCUGACCUCUUUUCUGAUACAGUGAACAGUGACAUUUACAAGAACAGGAAAUCCUAUCAGAAUCUCUGUAACUAUAAUCUCAGUGAUUUCUUUCAGCCCCCACUGUGACCUUAAUGUCAUGAUUUCUGUCCCAGUAACAAAAGUCUUCUGUCGUCUCAUGUUUUAGAUCUCUGGUUUAGUUUUUGAAUCGAAAAUC